ensembl:lncRNA
UAUAUUUUUAGAGAAAACUCACCACUUAAAUGUUCAGAUAGUUUUCUACAUGUAUGAUGAUGAAGACAGUUCCUCAAUUUCAAGGAUUCUGUCUGUUAACAUUCAGUCAGGUUGAAAUGGAUCUGAAAAUCAUGACAUAUGAAGAGCAGCUGAGGGAAUUGAAGAACAGAAAUCAUAGCAGCUGGGAGAGGAUGAGUAACUGGCCUCAAUUAUCUUCAGGGUUGCCAUGAGAAAGAAAGAAGGGGUAGAAAUACUCUGAGCAGCUCAUCAGGACAGAACUAGGACCAGUGAGCAAAAUUAAGGCAGGGGAGAGGGCACUAUGCAGGCUUCAGCAACCUAAGAAAGAACUUUCUAACGUUCUAAAGAGACACGCCCAACAGUGGGACAGCUUGCUUUAACAGAUAACGAUCCACUGUCACUGGCAGUGUGUAGGCAGAGUUGUUGUGAACAUUUGUCAAGGGUGACUGCGGAGGGAGCACCAACACAGAGCAAGAGAUUGAGGCUAUUCCAUCCCUUCCAACCUGAAAAGCAUUAUUCAAUAAGCCCGAAAGUCAUUCUACAAAUUCGGUGUUAAUACUAAGUAGAUAAUUAAUAAACAAAGAUUUGCAAUACCUCAAGGUCUUCAAUGAGCACAGAACAGGUAAAUGAAACAUCAUGGUCAGUAUGUUCUUUGAACGUUUUAUCAACAGAUGCAGACUUGACACUGGUUACUACCCAAGGAAAAUUUAGGUUGUCUCAGUGUGUAAAAUAAUACCAUACCUCAACAGAGAUCUUGAAUGCUCUCAGGUGUUUCAAAGGCUCCAGGAUUUGUUCUUUUUCUACAUCCCCAGUCACUGUCCCCGUGUCACCUGCUGUCAUCUCAAGCCUAGCUUAUCUUCUACAGCUGCCUCCUACUGAGACCUCUAUCUCUAAUCUCUUUUCCUGUAACCAUCUUGAACACUGCAACUAGAUGUCUCCCUAAAACCCAUUUGAACAAGUUACUACCUAUUCAGAAGCCUAGAAUGAUUCCUCAAUUCAGAAACACGUAGGGAAAGGAUAAGAGGCAUAACAAUACAGUUAUUAAAAUGGUAGAAUUAUAGACUAGUAUCUUUUUUUAAGUUCUUGGUGUGGUACUAAAGUUCUAAUGAUAAAUAAAAUCAGUGCAAAACAAAGACUCUACAAAGUUUCCUUCCGACCUAACGCAUUGCAUCCAAAAGCUCCAACUUCACUUUUUAAAGACCCUUCAGCAAGUCUCCCAACUCACCUUUCCUCCUACUACCCCUGCAAUAGAGCUGCGUUGUUUCUCUCGUCUAACUCUCUACUGUCUUCUUUCCUUCCUCCUUGUCUCUCGUUGCUGCUUCUCUCUCAUGUGCCUUUUUCCGCAUGUUUGCUCUUCCUCACCUGCAGGACAGUUGCUGCAUCUCAUCUGUGUGCUCACUGCGCCAUAUGUAGGUAAGCCUCCCGAGGGCAGGGCCUUUGUUCAUAAUUGCAUCCCUUGCAUCUAGAAUAGCGCCUUGCAGAUAAGGAACUAUCUAUUAAGGAACUAUCAGUUGAAUGAGUGAUUGUCAUUUCUGUGACUAUAUGAAUCCACAACACUCCUUUUUGAAAUUUGAUAUAAGUUGGUUAUAUAAUAUGUGUGGGUUUAUAUUGUAUAACAUCUUUUUUCUAGUUCUUUACAUGUUUUAGUGUAGGUCUCUCAAAAUGAAGAGACAGAUGUCAUCCAUGUUACCUAAUUCAAUACUCCAAUUCAGCAAAUUUGUACUGAAUACCUACUGUGUGUUAGGCACUUUAGUAGGCUGUACGAUAGAAAUUAAAAACUGCAUUUAACAAGGGUCAGUAAACACCAAAUGGAAUAUUUCUUAGCUAAUUUCUUUUACACAAAAUAAAUACACCAGAAAUCUAUAGUCUAAAUCAAAACAGUAGUCCAAUUUUCUAUACUUUUCUACCAUCUUUCUAUCAAAC